CCACCACCCUUGCCUGGCAGGAGUCACCUACUCUUGCCCCCCAAGAUUCAUUUGUUUACUUAAAAGGUAGAGUUGCAGAGGGAGAAGGAGAGACACAGAGAGAUAUUACAUUCCCUGGCUCACUCCCCAGAUGGCUGCCAUGGCCAGGGCUGGGCUGGGCUGAAGCCAGGAGCCGGGAGCUUCAUUUGGGUCUCUCAGGUGGGUGGCAGGGGCCCAAACACUUGGGCAUCUUCGGCUGCUUUCCCAGGUGCAUUAGCAGGAAGCUGGAUAGGAAGUGGGGCAGCUGGGAUUGCAACCAAUGCCCGUAUGGGAUGCUGACAUUACAGGCAGUGGCUUAUCCUGCUAUGCAACAACGCUGGCUCCUGGAAUCGCCCUUGACUCAGGAUUCAGUCCAGAAUUCUUGACCUGCAUUUUGGGGGAAGACGUCUUGUGGCCUCAGCCAUCCACUCAUCUGUCAAGGGCAAAACCGCGUGUGUCAGAUAUUGAGAGAAUGAAGUUGGCAUAGGAGGAAGACAUCCCACAGGGGGAGAGCUGUCUGAAGAUGAAGGCAGAGAUUGAGGCAAUGUUUCUACGAGAUAAGGGAUGUUGGAGAUUGCCAGAAG